rnacentral:rRNA from 1 species
UAACGCGUGAAGUUGACCGCCUGGGGAGUACGGUCGCAAGAUUAAAACUCAAAGGAAUUGACGGGGACCCGCACAAGCGGUGGAUGAUGUGGAUUAAUUCGAUGCAACGCGAAAAACCUUACCUACCCUUGACAUGUCCGGAAUCCUGCAGAGAUGUGGGAGUGCCCGAAAGGGAAUCGGAACACAGGUGCUGCAUGGCUGUCGUCAGCUCGUGUCGUGAGAUGUUGGGUUAAGUCCCGCAACGAGCGCAACCCUUAUCAUUAGUUGCUACGCAAGGGCACUCUAAUGAGACUGCCGGUGACAAACCGGAGGAAGGUGGGGAUGACGUCAAGUCCUCAUGGCCCUUAUGGGUAGGGCUUCACACGUCAUACAAUGGUCGGUACAGAGGGUUGCCAAGCCGCGAGGUGGAGCCAAUCCCAGAAAGCCGAUCGUAGUCCGGAUUGUUCUCUGCAACUCGAGAGCAUGAAGUCGGAAUCGCUAGUAAUCGCGGAUCAGCAUGUCGCGGUGAAUACGUUCCCGGGUCUUGUACACACCGCCCGUCACACCAUGGGAGUGGAAUCUGGCAGAAGUAGGUAGCCUAACCGCAAGGAGGGCGCUUACCACGCUGGGUUUCAUGACUGGGGUGAAGUCGUAACAAGGUAACCA